rnacentral:rRNA from 1 species
GAGACUGACAGGUCGAGCAGAGUCGAAAGACGGCCAUAGUGAUCCGGUGGUCCCGCGUGGAAGGGCCAUCGCUCAACGGAUAAAAGGUACGCCGGGGAUAACAGGCUGAUGGUGCCCAAGAGUCCAUAUCGACGGCACCGUUUGGCACCUCGAUGUCGGCUCAUCUCAUCCUGGGGCUGAAGCAGGUCCCAAGGGUACGGCUGUUCGCCGUUUAAAGAGGUACGUGAGCUGGGUUUAGAACGUCGUGAGACAGUUCGGUCCCUAUCUGCCGUGGGUGCAGGAUACUUGAGAGGAGUUGCCCCUAGUACGAGAGGACCGGGGUGAACGAUCCACUGGUGGACCUGUUGUGGCGCCAGCCGCAGUGCAGGGUAGCUAUGAUCGGAAAGGAUAACCGCUGAAGGCAUCUAAGCGGGAAGCCCCCCUCGAAACAAGGUAUCCCUGAGGGCCGUGCAAGACCAGCACGUCGAUAGGCCGGAUGUGCAAGCGCAGCAAUGCGUUCAGCUGACCGGUACUAAUUGCCCGAUAGGCUUGAUUUGAUCCAG